rnacentral:lncRNA from 1 species
UGAUGGAGACAUUGCAGUUAGCACAGCAGAAAUAUGUGUCGCCCUCAUGAAGCAUGCAUUCUAGUAGGGAGGGACAGCACAUCAAUAAAGGAAGAUUAUUUCAUACGGGGACAAGUUCUAUAAAAAUAAUAAAACUGUAGUGGAGAAUGAGUGACUAAGGGUGGUCAGUUAGCUCUUAAAAUAACAAUUUUAUAUUGAAUACUAUAGUGAGUUACACAAUCUUUAUCUGAGUGAAAUCCUUUGGUACUUAUUCAGACAAGAGUUCUGACUCUCAUGCUUGAGGAUAAGAUUUUACAUUUCAGUAUUACAUUGAAGAUGUUUCAUUUUUAACCAGACUAACUUAGUAUAUUGUUAUUUUUAAUGUGACCAAAGAAAUAUUUUCAUAGAAGCUAAUGCUGAGUCUUUUGAUAAUUUGCCGUAUCUUAGUCAAUCCCAAAAAAUUUAUUUUCUACUAUUUACAUAUUAUCCUAGUGGAUAUUACAUUACUUACUGAAGCCUUUGGUUCUAUGUUUCAUCUACUCAGACUUAAUUCAGGAAGAGCUUCAUCCAGAUGUUUUGUUUAUUUGUUUCUCGAUUACAUGUAUGAGAUUUCAGAAUUUAUGAGAUCAUAGGUCAAGUGAAAGGUCACAGUUGAGAGGUCAAGUAAGAAGCUAAAAUUUGUGAAACCAAAGAAAUGACAGGACAGUGCCAAAUGAAAGGUCAAAAGUCAAGUGACAGACUCAGUACAGAUGAAAGCAAGUGGAAUAGUAAACACGUUUUCAUAUGUGAGAGGUGUGUGUGUGUAUGCAUGUGCAUUUGUCAUUAACAAUAAAUGGUUCUUUGGGACUUAGGGACAUUUUGUCAGUGAUUUGCUUUAUGGAUCAUACAAAGUGACCAUUCUUCAAAAGCCAAGCAUUUAAAGGAAGUCUCUUUCCAUAUUCUAGAAAUAAACAGCAACAUUUCAUGACAAACUAAAAAAAAAUGAAUGAUAGGUUAGGGAUCUCCAGCUCUAAAAAGAGGAAUUCAACAAAAGAGAAUUUGCUUUUAUGUAGAGUCCUGUGCUUUUUUUCUCAUAGAGCACAUUAGAAUGGUUUAUUUACAAGUAAAAAUCACAUUGAUGAUAAUAGAAGUCAGUGGCAAGUCAAUAAGAGUUUAGUCUCUACCAAACUAUAAAAUUGGACUUUUAAAUCAUAGCGUAAGCACUGUCGUUGUCCAAAAGAAGUGUUUAUUUUUCCUAAGUUUUGCCUUUCAUAUCACGCCCAUAAAUUUUUUCAAAUAUAUACUUUGAAAAGCUAAGGGCAAGCCCUGAAGGGUGAAAUAUUGCAAACCAAUUAAAAACAACUGAAGUGAGAUUCUAAAAUACAGGAGUUUUCCAACUCAUGAACAAUAUUUAGAGAGCUGGUUAAUUUUAAUUCCUCUGGGAACCAUAAGUCUGGGCAUUAAUAGGCUUAGAGUGAUAAAAACAGCAAUAUACUAUGCACAUAUAGAUGGUAUUGUCAAAAAAAGAAGCAAUUAGUGGCAAAGAAAGCAUAAGUAUGUACACAUAUGUUUAAUGUGCUGUAAAAUACAAGGAUCUGUACAAUUAAAAAGAAGGUGCUUUACCCUUUAACAUGUGCCAAACGUCUUUCACCCCCAUUUUACUGCAUAUACCUCCUGUUUCUACAAAGCACCCAAGAAGUAGUUCAUCCCCAGAUGACAUUUCUGAUACCGCAUGACCCAGAUUGCCACAAUUUGGGUGAAAUAGCCUGAAGAAUUAUCAAAUAAGAUAGCUAGGAUGAUGUUCUGUAUUCUCUGGUGUUGGUACAGCACCAUGUUUGGGACCCAGAUUAACCUUUCAGCUAUUAAAUUGAUUCCUAACAAAAGCUUUUUUUGUGGUUUGCUUAUAUCAUGCUUGGAAGAACAGCAAAUAAUAGGUAACAGUGGUGGAGCUGGAAAUUUUUAAAAGACAUGAUUCUUGGGUCCAAGUCGUUUUUCACUUUUGUUGUAGAAUGGCCUCAAAAUGGUAAUUUUUGGUAUGAUCUUUUAGAAAGCCCACCAGAGUUUAGAAUAUCUCAAAAAGGUGAAUUUAAGAGAAACGUGAGAAAUUCACAGAACCAUAGGACUAAAUGCCUUCUCACGUGAUCAGAAAGGAGAAAAGGCUUUGGAAGUUCCUUAGAGUUUCUAGCUGUGCUGGCCAGUUAUUCUGGCCUAAUGCAUUGGGGUGGGGCAAUGGGUACCAUUCAUGAUGGUGUUGGGCUGCUUAGAACUUGUACAAGAAUGGCUUAAAGUGACAUCAUCCAGUCUCAAAUGUUUGAUGCUGAAAAGACUCAGGACUAACAGCUUAGAAGGACCCUCACCUAACUCCCUGGCUAGUGACCAUCACUGACCCAGGAUAGUAACCUCGGCCCCUCCAUGGAUUUAAGAUUAAGCCUUGCCAGUCCCUGGAAACUCUGAUCAGAAGACCAAGCAGCAAGUUUCAUGACUGACCAGAGAAUAUAAUUUCUCAGUCUCAUAAGCCUUUGGGUUCAGAAAUUUUAGUUGAGAUGCUCUUGUGACUUAUUUGGUGUCUGCUGGCUGCCUCUCCACUUGCCCGUUUGGUAGUCACCAACCAUCUCACAUGCGUGGAUGGCACUUUCUAGCUAAACUUAAUCACAGUCCCAACAGGCCUAAGGAAUCUCUUCAGUUCCUGUAUAAGGAGUUGCUUUGAAUAACAUCUUCACUGUGUCCAUUGUUAUCACACCCAGUGAGCCAAAAUAUCAGUGCAUACAGUGAGCUCCAAGAGUGGCCCAAUUUGGGAUUUAAAAGCAACAAAAUCCCAAGUUUGGUCAUGCUGCCCUCCUGCCUCCUAUGUGCUGAUUCCCACUUCUGAAAACACAUCUUGAAUGUGCCUCUUGAAAUGUUGUCAUUUUUCUAAUCUUGUUUCCUUUUUAAAACAAGCAUUUUAUUCCAUGAUUUGCACAGUUCUGCAUCUAUAUCAAUGACUUUUCACCCAUUCCCCCUUUCCAACGCAUUUCUUGGGCAAAAGUUUGUGUCCAGCCUGCCAUUCAGGAAAGGCAAAGAAAUCCAUCACCAUGACUAUUUUAUAAAAUAGUGAGUUUGACUAAAUUGCCCGAAGAUUCCUUUUUCACAAAAGGAAGCUGUGGUGUCCAGCCAAUGACUUGCCUAAGGUCACACAAUGAAAAAACUAAAGAUGGGUGAAGUUAGACACCUCUUAAACAUAGGGCAAGGAUUUCCUUUUAUAGCCUAUGAACAUCUACUCUCAAAUCAAAUGAUUUCAGAGAUUCUCCUGCCAUUGCCCUGUAUACAAAAAACAAAAGCAAAAUUUUCUUCCAUACAUGGGAGAAAUAGAACUGCUUUUAAUGAAGUUCUGAGAUUCAGCACAGUCAGUUAAAUUCCUUCCAGUUGAUAAGCACUUUAUGUAAGACCUCUAAAGCUCCCCAUCAUACUCCUUAGUAUCGAUACCACACCAUAUCCUAGAUGAAAGGCACCCCCGUCAGUGGGGCAUAGAAAAAACCUAGGGCACGGUAGUCAACUAGAGUAUUCCAGUGGCUCAGAAAAAAAUUCUGAAGCACUCUUCCUUUUCUUGUGAAGAGCUUUUGGGGUUUAAUAAUGGCAGGAGUUCCAGGUUGCUCUGCUUCUCUUGGCCAGGCACUUAACCUACAGGAGGUUCCACCUGAGGUCAUGGGAGUCACUACUAGUGGCUUGGAACUUGAGGAAGAAUAGAGGGGCUCACGGUCCAAAUCAGAGGAGAUGGAGUUUCUGACUUUCAGAGUAAAGCAUGAAUACCUUUUCCUAUGUACAUACUGUUAA